rnacentral:rRNA from 1 species
GGGCCCGCACAAGCGGUGGAGUAUGUGGUUUAAUUCGAUGCAACGCGAAGAACCUUACCAGGGUUUGACAUCCUGCGAAUCUCUUGGAAACUUGAGAGUGCCUUCGGGAGCGCAGUGACAGGUGGUGCAUGGCUGUCGUCAGCUCGUGUCGUGAGAUGUUGGGUUAAGUCCCGCAACGAGCGCAACCCACGUCUUUAGUUGCUACCAUUUAGUUGGGCACUUUAAGGAAACUGCCGGUGAUAAGCCGGAGGAAGGUGGGGAUGACGUCAAGUCCUCAUGGCCCUUACAGGCUGGGCUACACACGUGCUACAAUGGCGAUGACAGUGGGCAGCGACCCCGCAAGGGUGAGCUAA